rnacentral:rRNA from 1 species
UACGGAGGGUGCGAGCGUUAUUCGGAAUUACUGGGCGUAAAGCGCGUGUAGGCGGCUUGACAAGUCUGAUGUGAAAGCCCUGGGCUCAACCUGGGAAGUGCAUUGGAAACUGUCAGGCUUGAGUACCGGAGAGGAUGGGUGAAUUCCCGGUGUAGAGGUGAAAUUCGUAGAGAUCGGGAGGAAUACCAGUGGCGAAGGCGCCCAUCUGGACGGCUACUGACGCUGAGGCGCGAAGGCGUGGGGAGCAAACAGG